rnacentral:rRNA from 1 species
UGGGGAAUAUUGCACAAUGGGCGCAAGCCUGAUGCAGCCAUGCCGCGUGUAUGAAGAAGGCCUUCGGGUUGUAAAGUACUUUCAGCGAGGAGGAAGGCGGUAAGGUUAAUAACCUUAUCGAUUGACGUUACUCGCAGAAGAAGCACCGGCUAACUCCGUGCCAGCAGCCGCGGUAAUACGGAGGGUGCAAGCGUUAAUCGGAAUUACUGGGCGUAAAGCGCACGCAGGCGGUCUGGCAAGUCGGAUGUGAAAUCCCCGGGCUCAAACUGGGAACUGCAUUCGAAACUGGCAGGCUAGAGUCUUGUAGAGGGGGGUAGAAUUCCAGGUGUAGCGGUGAAAUGCGUAGAGAUCUGGAGGAAUACCGGUGGCGAAGGCGGCCCCCUGGACAAAGACUGACGCUCAGGUGCGAAAGCGUGGGGAGCAAACA